rnacentral:rRNA from 1 species
CUUCCGCCAUUGGGCACCCUGACCGAGCAACGCCGCGUGAGUGAUGAAGGCCUUCGGGUGUAAAGAAAGAAAUAAAGGAAGAAUGACUAGGAUAGAAUCUUAGAGAAAGGGAACUUUAUCAGAAAGCCACGGCUAACUACGUGCCAGCAGCCGCGGUAAUACGUAGGUGGUGAGAGUUAAGGGGAAUUAUUGGGCGUAAAGGGUGCGCAGGCGGUAUGUUAAGUUUAAGUUUAAAGCGUUGAGCUCGACUCAAUGAUGGUUUAAAAACUAGCAAACUAGAGUGCAGAAGAGGGUAGUGGAAUUCCAUGUGUAGCGGUAAAAUGCGUAGAUAUAUGGAGGAACACCAGUGGCGAAGGCGACUACCUGGUCUGUAACUGACGCUCAUGCACGAAAGCGGGGGGAGCAAAUAGGAUUAGAUACCCUAGUAGUCCACGCCGUAAACCAUGAAUACUAGGUGUUGGGGGAACUCAGUGCCGCAGCUAACGCAAUAAGUAUUCCGCCUGGGGAGUAUGCACGCAAGUGUGUUACUCAAAGGAAUUGACGGGGGCCCGCCCCAGCCGGGGGAGAUGUGGGUUUAAUUCGAAGCAACUCUAAGAAUCUUACGGGGUUUUUGACAUCCCAUGCAGGGUUUUAGAGGUUUUAGUGAAGGUUAUCAGGGAUCCACCCGGUGGAUGGGUUCCCCCCAGCUCCUGUGGGGGGGAUGUAGGGUUUAGGUCCCCCCCCCGAGCGCAACCUUUAUUUUUUAGUUACCAUCGUUAAAGUUGAGGCCCCAAAAGAAACUGUCCGUGUUUAAACGGGGGGGAAGUGGGGGAAAACGUAAAUUCAUUAUUCCCCUUAACAACCCGGGGUACCCCCCCUCCUAAAAAGGGAAAAAAAAGCAAGGCCCCAGGCCCCGCGGGGGCAAAAAUAUUUUAAAAAAUUUUUCCCCCCUCCGGGAGAAAACCCCCCACUCCCACUUCCUAAAAUUUGAAUUCUUUGCCACCCGGGGGUCGGGGGGCCCGGGGUAUUUUUUUCCGGCCCAUAAAAACACCCCCCCCGCCCAAACAUUAAAAAUUAAAAAUGCCCCAAAAACCGGGGGGCCCUACCUUUUUUUCCGGGGGGGGGGGCCCCUAAAGGGGGGGCUUGUUUUUUUUUGGGGUAUAAAGUGGAAAAAAGGCACCUCCCCCACCC